rnacentral:rRNA from 1 species
CAGUCGAGCGGAACGAGUUAUCUGAACCUUCGGGGAACGAUAACGGCGUCGAGCGGCGGACGGGUGAGUAAUGCCUAGGAAAUUGCCCUGAUGUGGGGGAUAACCAUUGGAAACGAUGGCUAAUACCGCAUGAUGCCUACGGGCCAAAGAGGGGGACCUUCGGGCCUCUCGCGUCAGGAUAUGCCUAGGUGGGAUUAGCUAGUUGGUGAGGUAAGGGCUCACCAAGGCGACGAUCCCUAGCUGGUCUGAGAGGAUGAUCAGCCACACUGGAACUGAGACACGGUCCAGACUCCUACGGGAGGCAGCAGUGGGGAAUAUUGCACAAUGGGCGCAAGCCUGAUGCAGCCAUGCCGCGUGUGUGAAGAAGGCCUUCGGGUUGUAAAGCACUUUCAGUCGUGAGGAAGGUAGUGUAGUUAAUAGCUGCAUUAUUUGACGUUAGCGACAGAAGAAGCACCGGCUAACUCCGUGCCAGCAGCCGCGGUAAUACGGAGGGUGCGAGCGUUAAUCGGAAUUACUGGGCGUAAAGCGCAUGCAGGUGGUUUGUUAAGUCAGAUGUGAAAGCCCGGGGCUCAACCUCGGAAUUGCAUUUGAAACUGGCAGACUAGAGUACUGUAGAGGGGGGUAGAAUUUCAGGUGUAGCGGUGAAAUGCGUAGAGAUCUGAAGGAAUACCGGUGGCGAACGCGGCCCCCUGGACAGAUACUGACACUCAGAUGCGAA